rnacentral:tRNA from 1 species
GACUUAAAAUCCGUCGACUUUAAAAAUCGUGA